UCGAUCCUGGCUCAGAUUGAACGUUGGCGGGAUGCUUUACACAUGCAAGUCGAACGGCAGCACGGACUUCGGUCUGGUGGCGAGUGGCGAACGGGUGAGUAAUGUAUCGAAUGCCUAGUAGCGGGGAAUAACUACGCGAAAGCGCCAAUACCGCAUACGCCCUCGGGGGAAAGCGGGGGACCUUCGGGCCUCGCACUAUUAGGAGCGGCUGAUAUCGGAUUAGCUAGUUGUGGGGUAACGGCUCACCAAGGGCGACGAUCCGUAGCUGGUUUGAGAGGACGACCAGCCACACUGGGAUUGAUGAUGGGCCCAGAUUCCCUACGGGAGUGUGCGCAGUGGGGAAUUUUGGGAAUAUUAAUGGGGGGAAACCCUGAUCCAAAUAUCCCGCGUGUGCGAUGAAGGCCUCGGGUUGUAAAGCACUUUGGCAGGAAAGAAACGGCAUACGGGAUAAUACCCCGUGCAACUGACGGUACCUGCAGAAUAAGCACCGGCUAACUACGUGCCAGCAGCCGCGGUGAAUAAUGUAGGCAGGCGUUAGACCGGAAUUACUGGCGUAAAGCGUGCGGUAUUCGGAAAGAAAGAUGUGAAAUCCCAGAGCUUAACUUUGGAACUACUUAACUACCGAGCUAGAGUGUGUCAGAGGGAGGUGGAAUCUCCGCGUGGCAAAGAGAAACGCGAUGAGGAACACCGAUGGCGAAGGCAGCCUCCUGGGAUAACACUGACGCUCAUGCACGAAAGCGUGGGGAGCAAACAGAUUAGAUACCCUUAUAGUCCACGCCCUAAACGAUGUCAACUAGCUGUUGUACUGGGCCUUGGUAGCGCAGCUAACGCGUGAAGUUGACCGCCUGGGGAGCGACGGCCCGCAAGAUUAAAACUCAAAGGAACGAUGGGACCGCACAAGCGGUGGAUAUGGAUUAAUUCGAUGCAACGCGAAAACCUUACCUACCCUUGACAUGUCUGGAAUCCCGAAGAGAUUUGGGAGUGCUCGCAGAGAACCGGAACAGGUGCUGCAGGCGAUGUCGUCAGCUCGUGUCGUGAGAUGCUGGGUUAAGUCCCGCAACGAGCGCAACCCUUGUCAUUAGUUGCUACGAAAGGGCACUCUAAUGAGACUGCCGGUGACAAACCGGAGGAAGGUGGGGAUGACGUCAAGUCCUCAUGGCCCUUAUGGGUAGGGCUUCACACGUCAUACAAUGGUCGGGACAGAUGUGUCGCCAACCCGCGAGGGGGACAAUCCCAGAACCCGAUCGUAGUCCGGAUCGUAGUCUGCAACUCGACUGCGUGAAGUCGGAAUCGCUAGUAAUCGCGGAUCAGCAUGUCGCGGUGAAUACGUUCCCGGGUCUUGUACACACCGCCUCGUCACACCAUGGGAGUGGGUUUUACCAGAAGUAGUUAGCCUAACCGUAAGGAGGGCGAUUACCACGGUAGGAUUCAUGACUGGGGUGAAGUCGUAACAAGGUAG
rnacentral:rRNA from 1 species